rnacentral:piRNA from 1 species
UAAACCAGAGUCCAUGAUGAUGUUGUGGA